GCCCAAGGUUUCCUGCUCUACGUUCAUCGGAGCAGGGUGAGUCGGCCCCUAAGGCCAGGCUGAGAAGCGUAGUCGAUGGGAAGCAGAUUAAUAUUUCUGCACCAUGUGCAAGUGCGAUGGGGGGACGGAGUGCGAAAGAUCAUCCGGGUGUUGGAUGUCCCGGUUUGUGAGUGUAGAAGGCCGACAGGCAAAUCCGUCGGCGGAUCUUCGAGACAAAGCAUCGAGGUUCUACGGAACCGAAGUGAUCGGAAGUGCUUCCAGGAAAAGCCUCUAAGCUCCAGCUUGCAUGUGACCGUACCGUAAACCGACACUGGUGGGCGAGUUGAAUAUACUCAGGCGCUUGAGAGAACUCGGGAGAAGGAACUCGGCAAAUUGACACCGUAACUUCGGGAUAAGGUGUGCCUUUGUAGCGUGAAGAGAGAAACACUCGGAGCGUGAAGAGGCCUCAGAGAAUCGGUGGCUGCAACUGUUUAUUAAAAACACAGCACUCUGCAAAGACGAAAGUCGACGUAUAGGGUGUGAUGCCUGCCCGGUGCUGGAAGAUUAAGUGAUGGGGUGAGAGCUCCUGAUCGAAGUCCCAGUAAACGGCGGCCGUAACUAUAACGGUCCUAAGGUAGCGAAAUUCCUUGUCGGGCAAGUUCCGACCUGCACGAAUGGCAUAACGAUGGCCACACUGUCUCCUCCUGAGACUCAGUGAAGUUGAAGUGUUUGUGAUGAUGCAAUCUCCCCGCGGCUAGACGGAAAGACCCCAUGAACCUUUACUGUAGCUUUGCAUUGGACUUUGAACCGAUCUGUGUAGGAUAGGUGGGAGGCUGUGAAACCGGGACGCCAGUACCGGUGGAGCCGUCCUUGAAAUACCACCCUGAUUUGUUUGAGGUUCUAACCUAGGUCGGUAAUCCCGAUCGGGGACCGUGCAUGGUAGGCAGUUUGACUGGGGCGGUCUCCUCCUAAAGGGUAACGGAGGAGUGCGAAGGUACGCUAGGUACGGUCGGAAAUCGUGCUGAUAGUGCAAAGGCAAAAGCGUG
rnacentral:rRNA from 1 species